GGGCUGACGGUCCAACGGUAGGGCGCUUGCCUGGCAGGCAUGAGAUCCGGGUUCAAUUCCCGGUCAGUCCA
rnacentral:tRNA from 1 species